GUUUUUAUAAUUUAAAUAUAAAAUAUUGGUCUUGUAAAUCAAAAUUAAAAAAUUUCUUUAAAAACU
rnacentral:tRNA from 1 species